UGGCUGGCAGAGGAUUUACAGCACGAGCGCUUUGCAUAUUAACAGUUUUUAAUUUGACACAUAAGAGUUUCCCACAUUCCUCUUCCCGUCACUUAGUUUCCAGACAACUUGCACAACACUUUCCGGCUUCUUGCAUCUCACUUCAGAGACUCGUCCUGGAUCUACGCUCACGACCAACCAGCGUUUAAACUGAUCAGUGAAUCUGACAUCGUUUUCUUUUUCCCCUGACGUCCAAGAGAUGGCACAGGUCUAAGUAAUGAAGCUACAGUGUCAUCACGACGGCAGAAAAAGACGAUAAAGCACCGGACGUACUGGGGGCGUGGAUACAGUGUGAUUGGCG